rnacentral:sRNA from 1 species
GGGAAAAGGGGAAACGGUGCAAACGGCGUGGCCGCCAUCUUGCUUGUGCCCCCGCUUCGCGCGCGCUCCGUUCUCCGUGACGCACACUUCCCCCUCCCCUCCGCCGCGCCUGGGCCUCUGCAUUGCCCGACUCCGUAGGAGCGCGGGGGCGGCUCCUGCUCUUCCUGGACUCCUGAGCAGAGUUGUCGAGAUGUCCACAGAAGGAGGAUUUGGUGGUACUAGCAGCAGUGAUGCCCAGCAAAGCCUACAGUCGUUCUGGCCUCGGGUCAUGGAAGAAAUCCGGAAUUUAACAGUGGAGGAGGUGCGCCAGUCUGUAACUCCUGCUGAGCCAGUCCAGUACUAUUUCACGCUGGCUCAGCAACCCACCGCUGUCCAAGUCCAGGGCCAGCAGCAAGGCCAGCAGACCACCAGCUCCACGACCACCAUCCAGCCUGGGCAGAUCAUCAUCGCACAGCCUCAGCAGGGCCAGACCACACCUGUGACAAUGCAGGUUGGAGAAGGUCAGCAGGUGCAGAUUGUCCAGGCCCAGCCACAGGGUCAAGCCCAACAGGCCCAGAGUGGCACUGGACAGACCAUGCAGGUGAUGCAGCAGAUCAUCACUAACACAGGAGAGAUCCAGCAGAUCCCGGUGCAGCUGAAUGCCGGCCAGCUGCAGUAUAUCCGCUUAGCCCAGCCUGUAUCAGGCACUCAAGUUGUGCAGGGACAGAUCCAGACACUUGCCACCAAUGCUCAACAGGUAUGUGCCCCAGAGACACAAGGCUUGUGUUGGAGACCAGGAGCAGAUGGCUUCUGACAGGAAAGGAGCGCUCAGCACACAGCUGUCUUGCCACCUCAUCCUUCAGCCAGAAGCACCACCCCCACACCCUCCAUAUCCUUCUGCACCCAAGAGGCAUGGGUGGUAAUUGGAACAUUAGAUUCAAAGUGUUUUCUCUUACCAUCUUGUUCUCAAGGGGCAAAGAAAUGCAAGUCAGGGGAAGCCUCGAAGGUGCCUGAAAGAAACCUUACAGGUGUGCACACCCAUCAGACCUGGGAAAUGUUCGACAGAUCGCCUGAUCGUCAGGCUGUUUCCAUCUUUAAACCCAAGUGGCUGUUGUGUUCUGGCACCUCCUGUGCUCUUUGGAAAGCUUACUUAGAUUUUACCCCUACCUCCUCUUGCAUCCCUAACCAGAAAAAUUGCCCUUCUCCUCUCCUCUCGUGCCCUACAAUAUUGAUGGCUAUGAGUCACAGAUGGUGAGGGGGCUGCCUCCCUGGGCUUGGGGGUGUUGAGGGACAUGGG